ACCAACCUAUCUGCUCGCUUCCUUCUUCCACCCCCCCACCUUCUCUAACCGCCUUUAAAUAGGACGGUUCCCGGCCACCCCGGCUCCCCCCGCCGCCCCCGGGGGUCAGAGAAGACUUUUAGGAAGAGCCGCGGCUCCAUGCGAUCUCCCUCUCCCUCCCUCGCUCGCUCGCUCCCUCGCUCGCUCUCUCUCACACACACACUGUACAGCUACGGCAGCGGCGGCGGCGGCGGUGGCGGCGGCAGCGGGAUUCACUUCUCUUCUCUCUCAGACAAAAAGAUCUGAGGCCGCCGUGCUUCUGCCUGGACGAGAGCGCAACACAGCGGACCCCGGAGGCCGCUCCCGGGAAGCCCGGGAGAAGACCUGCACGACAACCAUGAGGGAGACCAGUGCUGCUUGGGGUAAACAGGAGAAAGGCCCGAGCAGUGAAUGGCAACUUCUGGUGAACCUUUGCUCCUCAGGCAAAGCUCAUGGUGACCCAG